GUGGAAUUAUCACCGUGGCUAAUACCGUCUUGUUAAUUAAAGACUGGAAAUUGGAGAAAAAUUCUGGAGUUUUAACAUGGUUCAGACAUUUGGUGUGCCUUUAAGGAUCUCUAACAGGCCAGUUAGGGCUGAAAACAAAAAGCUCUCCUAGAAAGCAUGUAAAAACACGUACUGCUGUCCUUGUGCGUGUGUCCCCAGAUCUGCAGCAUUGUCCUGAAAUGCAUCCUCGUGCCCUGGUAGCCAGCGAUGAGUCCAUUGCAGUUUCAUCUCUUUCAGGUGAUCAGAGGAAAACUCAAGGUGGCUUUCCCCAGUGUAACCCACAACUCAUUUGGGAUGUUUAAAAUAUGAAAAAAAUGUAAUGGAGAAAAGGUCAAUAAAGUUAUCCUUACUUUUUCUCAGAGUUUAA